rnacentral:miRNA from 1 species
AGCAGUCGAAAAGGGCCUUUCG